rnacentral:rRNA from 1 species
UGGCGGACGGGUGAGUAAUGUCUGGGAAACUGCCUGAUGGAGGGGGAUAACUACUGGAAACGGUAGCUAAUACCGCAUAACGCGCAAGACCAAAGAGGGGGACCUUCGGGCCUCUUGCCAUCGGAUGUGCCCAGAUGGGAUUAGCUAGUAGGUGGGGUAACGGCUCACCUAGGCGACGAUCCCUAGCUGGUCUGAGAGGAUGACCAGCCACACUGGAACUGAGACACGGUCCAG